AGCAUUUAUAUGGAUUGUUUGCAAAAUAAUAAACAUUAAAUAAUAGUAAUUUAGCAAGAAUCAUUAAUUUUGUUUUAUCUUGCUCAAGGACCAAUAUCUACGGAAUUCCAUCCUUGGGUUUGUUAACCUGGCAACCGCCAUGAUGCACACUAACGCAACGUCUGCGCCGUCGCAGUCGGCGGCAGUCGUCGCACCUGGCGUCGUCCGUGCAAGCGUGACUGAUGUAAACAAGCGACGUCGUCGUCGCCGUUGCUGCUGCAAAUCGCACACAUUCGUCGCAUCAGCAGCUCGGAACGCUCAGAUGUUAAUUGAAGUAAUAUGCCUUCUUACAAGUUGACUUAUUUCCAUCUCGCAGCAUUGGCCGAGCCAAUUUGCUUCUUGUUGAAUUAUGCUGGAAUUGAGUUAGUUUGUGGAUGAACGUAUCGAUAAAAAUGAUUGGCCAAAACUUAAACCGACUAUGCCAUUCGGUAAAGUACCCGUGCUCGAAGUAGACGAAAGGAAGAUUGAUCAGUCCGUAGCUAUCUGCCAUUACUUGACGAAACAAUGUGGUUUUUAGAUCAUGUAUUAUGUCAUAUUUUAUGAGGAUUGGUGCUCAACCAUACCACAAGAUUGGAUAGAUUUCGAAAAUAAAGUCCAUGUAUGGCCACCAAAAGAAAUAACAAAAGCAAUACGAAAAAAUAUUUCACCAAAAAAUUAUUGGUUCACGCGUAAUUGUGAAUGUAUCUUGGGACCAUUUCAAAACUAUGAAUUAUCCCGUCAAGUUGAAACCUCGAUGUCACUUAUGGACAAUGAGCAAAUGAAAAAGGUAAAAGAAAAUUUGCCCCCCUCCCCCCAAAAAAGACGUCUUUUUUACGACGAAUCGGAUGAGUCUACGAGCGAUGAAAAUGUUAACAAAAAUGUUAACAAUAUGGCAAAUAAAUCAGAAGAUGAAUCGGAAACCUUAAACCAUGAUAGACAUCACACUUGCUGUGAUAAGUGCCAAAAAAAUCAAAAGACAUUAAUUAGAAAAUUGGAUUUUCUUAUUAAUUUAAUUGAAAAUAAAUAUUUAGAAAACCCAAGUGAAGAAUGUGAUUCAAAAUUAUUACCUGCUUUUCCAUUGGUAACACUAGAAGAUUUUUCACAAUUUGAGAAGGAGCUACAAGAAGACAGAGAAAUAAGAAAACAAUUUAAGGCUAAAAUUGUAAAAAUAGGUGGAAAAACAUUUGCUGACAAAACCCGCAAUGUUCUCAAAUUUAUUAUGAAUGAUAAUAUCGCAAAAAAGAUGUCAUGGACAGACAGGUUUAAAAGAUUCUAUUGCAAUAAAAAAUACUGCAUUUGCAAGUGUCAUAAUAGAUUAUAUUACCAGUAUUAAUAAUUGUACAAUGGCUGAAGUUCAGAAAGUAGUACAAGAAUGGUUGCGGCAUGCGGGAGAUCGCAUUAAAUAUUCUUUAAAAAAUUAAAUAUUAUCAAUACUUGUAAUAAUUUUUAUCAUUUUUGUCAGGAUUUUCUGCCGCAUAAAUUUCGCGUUAAAGUUAUGCCUAUGCUAAUGCCGAGCAAUAAAAACAAUAUUCUUUAUGAUAUAGAAAAGCUACAUAUUCCGUUACUCGAUACUGAGUGAAUGACAUUAUUAAAAAUACGAUAGAAUGCGAUAAAAUAUACUAUUUUUGAUGUUAUGUUUGUACUUUAGAAUAUUGUUGAGUAUAUAUAUGUAAUUAAAACCUUUAUAAAAAAAUAUAUGUAUAAUAUAUAUUAUUACUAUAUAAUAUAUAUUGUUACUAAUAUAUAUUAUUGAUAAUAAGUCUGAUAAAUGCAAAUGUAAAAGAUAUUUUUGAUUACACAAUCUGUAAGCUCUAUGUAAGUAGAAAAAUAAUUGUAUUUUUUGUUUAAAAAAUGCUUCGAUUUAAAUUUAAUUAAUUUUUGUGUUAAUGAGAUAAAAAAAUAAAGUUAAAGUUUUAAAAUGCUA